UACAGAGGGUGCGAGCGUUGUUCGGAAUUACUGGGCGUAAAGCGCGCGCAGGCGGCCUUUUAAGUCUGACGGUGAAAUGCCGGGGCUCAACCCCGUGCCCGCCGGAGAUACUGGGAGGCUGGAGACGAGUAGAGGCAAGCGGAAUUCCAGGUGUAGCGGUGAAAUGCGUAGAUAUCUGGAGGAACACCGGUGGCGAAGGCGGCAUCCUGGACCAUUACUGACACUGAAAAGCGAAAGCCAGGGGAGCAAACGGG
rnacentral:rRNA from 1 species